rnacentral:lncRNA from 1 species
AGGCACAUGUGAGCAGAGCAACAGAGCACCAUUCGAUGCGCCAACGUCUCCUAAUACAAACUUUCCAAAGUUCUCCCUCAGAUUGGGAAUUUCGAGGCGAUACCUAGCCAGCUAAAGCUAAAGCCCCAAAGAGUAACAAACACAAAUCUAACCGGCUUGACGAAGAAAUCAAAUGCUCAAGCUUGCUUCGAUAUUUCUCUUACCAAGAAUUAUUCUUUCACUCAAUUUCUUGCAAGAUUGGAAUCUAAGAGCAAAGGGGAGAAGAGAGGAGAGUUUUGACUUUUGAGUGCUAAGAUGCCUUUUGGUCUGAAGGUUGAUCACGAAGAAAGAAUGGGUAAUGGUUAGAAAAGAGAAGCGGUAUUCAUAGCCCAAAGGAAAAAAAUGACUAUUUAGAGCAGCGUCGGUAGCACUGAUGGCUUUUGCAUGAAUAUGGGCUAAGGCUAUGCAAACAAGGUUGUCAUUACCAUGAACAAAUGUCAGUACUACCGAUGAUCGAUGGUACCAUCAGCAUAAGCAGGUUUCACCAAACAUGUUGAUACCACUAACAGUUACUAGUACCAUCGACGAGAAGAGAUAAGAGGUAUCUUACCGCCAACCUCCUUGGUACCACCGACAUCUUUACUACUGAUAGAGGAAGAAAGCCAAAUCUUUAUCAUGUGCUAUGUUGUGAUAGAAUAUCUCUCAAAAUAUAUUUAAAUUUGACAAUUGAGCGCUCUUAUCUUUUUAUACACCUAUAUUUGCAUCGCAUCUCUUUAUAGUGUGUCAUAACCUAAACUCAAUUUCAAACCAGUUAGAAAUUGAAGCCACUUGAUUUUGGAAGUCAUUUUAAACUUUAAAUUCAGGGGUGCCUCAUCAUAAAACUUCUUUUAAAUCUUUCAAAGAACUAAAGCCUGCAAUAUUACUCGAUGAACUAUCAACGUAAUUUUCUAUUGAUUCAUAAUGUUAGAAUAUUAUGUAUUUUGCAUUUGUAAUAAAGUUAAAGAGUUUUAUAGUGUAUUUAGUCAUAAUGGAGUAGGUAGCUUUACUCUAAUAUUUUGUGAAUACAUAAGGGUUUGUUUAUGAGUUACGCCUCAUGACCAUAAGCAUAUAUAGCUAAUUAAAAAAGUUCAUCUAAAAAACCUAAUGGUAGAAAUGAUAUAAAUUUGUGGAACUAUAUAUAUGUGCAAAAGUAUUAAGACUAACUAAUACCAGUUCUCUCUUAAUUAGUAUAAUUACAUCAUUAAUUAUUUUUGCUUACACCAUUAUGUUAAAGAUAUUAAUUUUUGUACAAAGAAUUUGUUGGUAUAUAGGUCCUCGUGUGUACCUUCACCAUGAACUCGAGACUCAAAAUAAACAUUGGGAAAGAGAGAAAGAGUGGGUGUUAUGUAAGUGUCUCUUGACUUUCCACUCAUGGGUUGUAUUUAUAGGAUAUGUGGGAGGAGGCAAUCUUUCUCGCGACCCCAUUAGUUUACAAGUUAGACAUAGACCCUUUAGUCAUGUAUUUAGAUAUUUCUACAAGAGGGGUAUCUCAAUACAAUGCUCACCCAACUAUUAUU